rnacentral:rRNA from 1 species
UGCCAGCAGCCGCGGUAAUACGGAAGGUGCAAGCGUUAAUCGGAAUUACUGGGCGUAAAGCGCGCGUAGGUGGUUUGUUAAGUUGGAUGUGAAAGCCCUGGGCUCAACCUAGGAACUGCAUCCAAAACUAACUCACUAGAGUACGAUAGAGGGAAUUUCUAGUGUAGCGGUGAAAUGCGUAGAUAUUAGAAAGAACACCAGUGGCGAAAGCGCUCUACUGGACCAUUACUGACACUCAGAGGCGAAAGCUAGGGUAGCAAAAGGGAUUAGAUA